AUUCACCUCAUUUUCCCAGAACAGAAGCACCAAGAAAAUUAUCACCAUUAUUAUCAUCAGAGUGCAGAUCCUUUUUUAAUAGCGAGAACAUUUAAAACCUACUCUUCGAAUAAUUUUGAAAUCUACAAAAUGGCAGCAUGGCCCAGGAGUGUGACUGGCAGUGAAGGAGCUGGGAAGACCUUGGAUGCAGGAAGGUCAUUUAAAGCAAAAGAUUAAGAAGCAGCAAUGCCCCUCUUGUGGCAAGAGUUGGCAGCGUGCGGUUGGUAUGUCAAUGCAUCCAAGGUCCAAGGGCCUGGAUUGUCUGCCAAAUGCUUGGGAGUUGUUUGAUCAGGUUGACAUGCUCCAACAGCAUUGUGGACUGGGCCCACACCUACGCUGAGGUGACCAAUGUCUCCAACUGUUGGAUCUGCUCCACCUUCCAGCAGCAGCUGCGGAGAGUUUGCCCUGGAACGCGUAUCCUGCUUCUGUUAAGAACUGGACAUGGCUAGAAGCUUGGGGUCCCACGGACAAUGGGUGGGAUGCCACAGGGCGGGCUUUGGAUAGGAGGCAUCACAAAACCCAUGGCAAACCUGGCCCUUGGCUGACUCAUAGUGUCCAUGAUGGAUGGAGCUGGCUAAUGGGAGAACACGUGGUGCCCCCAUUGCAGGUAUCACAAUGUAUAGAGCAGCACUGGGGUAAAGUCACUGUGGGAUGGUUGCCUACUGAGGUUUGUGCAAACAUAACAUGUGUCACCACACCAAGGGUGCAGUGGAACAAGCGGCCUUACGAAGGCCAGGCCCCCAUGGACUUUGUGCCCCCUGGGAGUUUAUGGGUCUGUGGGGACACAGGAUGGCCAUAUCUCCCAGCCAACUGGACUGGACAUUGUACCUGGGGUUGGCCCUAUGUGCCUGCCACUGGGCUUCCCACAUUGCCUAGUCGCCACAUAACUGGGAGCCACUGUGUUCCUGCUUUUUCCCAGUGCAGCAGGCCCUCUAGUGGUUCUAUCCCUUAGCAAUGACUAUCCCUGGAGCAGGCGUCAUUACUAUAGAAAAGCAAGUUGCAGCCUUUGCAGACCACACAGCUCGGUCCCGAGUUGCCCUCCUUUUGUUAACUGAUGAAGUUGAUCAGAUCAGGAAGGUGGUGCUGCAAAACCAGAUGGCCUUAGACAUAGUCGCAGCUGCCCAAGGUGGCACCUGUGCCCUUGUAGGGACACAAGGUUGUACAUUUAUCCCUGACAACCACUGGAAUAUAAUGGCAGCUUCACAAGGGGUGUCAUAGGAGAUUAAGGUGAUUGAGCACCUUACUGAUGACCCCCUGCAGAGAUGGUGGGCGUCUUUGGGAUCUGGCCUACAAUGGGCUCUCAUAAUCAUAGGUAGCAUAGCAGGAAUAUUAGUGGUAGGUUGUUGCUGUCUGUGUUGUUGCUGUGGCCUAUGGGUCCAGGGUGCUGCCACAUGUGCAUGGGUCCCCACCAAGAGGAUUCCCUGGCCUAGAGGGUGGAGUGUAAGGAACAUGGCUGUGUGCAGGCAAGCAGGCAUAGGCCAAGGUAAACAGCCUAGAUGACUCAGUGGGAUUGGGGCACAAGUGCACAGUCCCAUAUCUUAUAUAAUCAUAGCCGUGUAGGCACAACAUAAAGAAGCUCCCCACCUGG
rnacentral:lncRNA from 1 species